rnacentral:lncRNA from 1 species
GAUAGAUUGGAUACGACUGAGUUAUUUUGCUGUGAAUCAAGUAUUAGCUCAGGUAAAUACUUUUAACUUAUUUUCCCUAUACGGGCUUGGGAUACGGUAUAUUAAUACCGCUUGGUCGGGUAUGGGAUUAUUUUGUCGGAUUGUACUACUCAUAAUAGGCUGGGAGUUGCUCGGUGUCGAAAAAGAGGAUCUUGCAAAUCCUUAAAGAUGCCAUAAAGUCUG